rnacentral:rRNA from 1 species
GACGAACGCUGGCGGCGUGCUUAACACAUGCAAGUCGAACGAGUGGCGAACGGGUGAGUGACACGUGGGUGACCUGCCCCGCACUUCGGGAUAAGCCUGGGGAAAUGGGUCUAAUACCGGAUCGUGUGGGAUGGGCCCGCGGCCUAUCAGCUUGGUGGGGGGGGAAUGGCUACCAAGGCGCGACGGGUAGCCGGCCUGAGCGGGUGGACGGCCACAUUGGACCUGAGACACGGCCCAGACUCCUACGGGAGGCAGCAGUGGGGAAUAUUGCACAAUGGGCGGAAUCCUGAUGCAGCCAUGCCGCGUGUGUGAAGAAGGUCUUCGGAUUUGAAAGUACUUUAAGUUGGGAGGCGUUACCAGCAGAAUAAGCACCGGCUAACUUCGUGCCAGCAGCCGCGGUAAUAC